AUUAGUCAAAUUCUGUUGUUGAAAUAUAUGGAAAAGCCCCCAAUUUCAUGUCGUCAGUAGAUUCAAUUCUUAAUACUAGGCGGUCAUAUCCUUAUUGAAAAAAUGUAUCGAAUCGAAUUUUUCAAUCGAUCAUACGAAAGAAUCAGAAUCAAGUUGAAAAAUAGUGAUACAGAAGAUCGUAUCGGAGACUACUCUAGUAGCGUAAUGAAUCUUCAAGAAAAUAUUAUGGCGAUGAUGCUGUGGGAUGAGUUCAGUUGAAAAGAGAAAUUGAAAUAAAAUGCCCCUCUAACUAGAACACUCAAAAAAAAACAAUUUACAGAAUGGAAAACUCUGAAGAAAAUAUCAUGCAAAUUCAGAUAAAUAUUUGUGGACAUAAAAAGUACUUCUGAGUUGCCGAUGUAAACUAUGAAAUGCAUCUCCCACCGGAGGUUUGCUAUCAUCACAGCAAUCUGGACUUUGUUGACUGCAGUUGAAAAUUACUACAAUUAAACCAGUCCCUUAGAUUCUUAAGCCAGGGCAUAUGACGCACAUAGAUCAAUUUUAACCAUCUACGCGGCAAAAAUUGGAUUUUAAAAACUAACGAUAAUCAUUUAAAGAAAAUUAUCGUUAAUUAGAAAACAUUCCAGGUAAUCCUAAAUCACUCAUUUUAACCACCCCAGGUACAUCCUGAGCGUGCACAGAUAGUUGGAACUUCACCAUCAAUUCUUCGAGAUCACAGAGUUUGAAACAACAACAAAUUUGAACAUAAAUAUUUCUUUACCGGUGUCAGUUUUUGGAGUGAAAAAGAUGGAUUUCGAUAACCCUGGUAAUAUUCUUCAUUUCUGAUAUAAUUUACUUAGCCUCAAUGCAA